rnacentral:rRNA from 1 species
GACGAACGCUGGCGGCGUGCCUAAUACAUGCAAGUUGAGCGCUGAAGGUUGGUACUUGUACCAACUGGAUGAGCAGCGAACGGGUGAGUAACGCGUGGGGAAUCUGCCUUUGAGCGGGGGACAACAUUUGGAAACGAAUGCUAAUACCGCAUAAAAACUUUAAACACAAGUUUUAAGUUUGAAAGAUGCAAUUGCAUCACUCAAAGAUGAUCCCGCGUUGUAUUAGCUAGUUGGUGAGGUAAAGGCUCACCAAGGCGAUGAUACAUAGCCGACCUGAGAGGGGGAUCGGCCACAUUGGGACUGAGACACGGCCCAAACUCCUACGGGAGGCAGCAGUAGGGAAUCUUCGGCCAUGGACGAAAGUCUGACCGAGCAACGCCGCGGGAGUGAAGAAGGUUUUCGGAUCGUAAAACUCUGUUGGUAGAGAAGAACGUUGGUGAGAGUGGAAAGCUCAUCAAGUGGCGGUAACUACCCAGAAAGGGACGGCUAACUACGUG